rnacentral:rRNA from 1 species
UACGUAGGGUGCGAGCGUUGUCCGGAAUUAUUGGGCGUAAAGGGCUCGUAGGCGGUUUGUCGCGUCGGGAGUGAAAACCCAGGGCUUAACUCUGGGCCUGGGCUUUCGAUACGGGCAGACUAGAGGCAUGCAGGGGAUGAAUGGAAUUCCCGGUGACGCGGUGAAAUGCGCAGAUAAUCGGGAGGAACACCAAUGGCGAAGGCAG